rnacentral:rRNA from 1 species
GACGAACGCUGGCGGCGUGCCUAACACAUGCAAGUCGAACGGGACUGGGGGCAACUCCAGUUCAGUGGCGGACGGGUGCGUAACACGUGAGGAACAUGACUUUCGGCGGGGGAUAGCCGGCCCAACGGCCGGGUAAUACCGCGUACGACCUCUCGGGGACAUCCCCGGUUGGUGAAAGCAGCAAUGCACCGAAAGAGUGCCUCGCGGCCUAUCAGCUAGUUGGUGGGGUAACGGCUCACCAAGGCGACGACGGGUAGCUGGUCUGAGAGGAUGGCCAGCCACAUUGGGACUGAGACACGGCCCAGACUCCUACGGGUGGCUG